UACGUAGGGGGCGAGCGUUAUCCGGAUUUACUGGGCGUAAAGCGCGUUAAGGCGGUUGGCCACGUUGGUUGUGAAAUCUCUGGGCUCAACCCAGAAAUUGCGACCAAUACUGGUCGACUAGAGUGCAAGAGAGGAAGGUGGAAUUCCCGGUGUAGUAGUGAAAUGCGUAGAUAUCGGGAGGAACACCAGUGGCGAAGGCGGCCUUCUGGCUUGCAACUGACGCUGUAGCGCGAAAGCGUGGGGAGCGAACCGG
rnacentral:rRNA from 1 species